rnacentral:rRNA from 1 species
AUUGAACGCUGGCGGCAGGCCUAACACAUGCAAGUCGAGCGAGCGGCGGACGGGUGAGUAAUGUAUGGGGACUGCCCGAUAGAGGGGGAUCACUACUGGAAACGGUAGCGAAUACCGCAUACUAUCGGAUAACCCAUGUGUGAUUAGCUAGUUGGUGAGGUAAUGGCUCACCAAGGCGACGAUCCCUAGCUGGUCUGAGAGGAUGAUCAGCCACACUGGGACGGAGACACGGCCCAUACUCCUACGGAGGCAGCAGUGGGGAAUAUUGGACAAUGGGCGAAAGCCUGAUGCAGCCACGCCGCGUGUAUGAAGAAGGCCCUAGGGUUGUAAAGUACUUUCAGUAGGGAGGCGUUACCGACAGAAGAAGCACCGGCUAACUCCGUGCCAGCAGCCGCGGUAAUUC